CCCUUUUGUGAUGAAUUCCUAUACUGCCCCAGUCUGAAUUUGUGACUGAAUGGUAUGCUUCUGAUUUUAC